UGAUCCUGGCUCAGGAUGAACGCUAGCGGCAGGCUUAACACAUGCAAGUCGAGGGGUAACAUUGUGCUUGCACAGAUGACGACCGGCGCACGGGUGCGUAACGCGUAUAGAACCUACCUUUUACAAAGGGAUAGCCUUUAGAAAUGAAGAUUAAUACCUUAUAGUACUGAACUUUGGCAUCAGAAUUUAGUUAAAGAUUUAUUGGUAAAAGAUGGCUAUGCGUCCUAUUAGCUAGAUGGUAAGGUAACGACUUACCAUGGCAACGAUAGGUAGGGGUCCUGAGAGGGAGAUCCCCCACACUGGUACUGAGACACGGACCAGACUCCUACGGGAGGCAGCAGUGAGGAAUAUUGGGCAAUGGAGGCAACUCUGACCCAGCCAUGCCGCGUGCAGGAAGAAUGCCCUAUGGGUUGUAAACUGCUUUUAUACAGGAAGAAACAACUCUACGUGUAGAGUCUUGACGGUACUGCAAGAAUAAGGACCGGCUAACUCCGUGCCAGCAGCCGCGGUAAUACGGAGGGUCCAAGCGUUAUCCGGAAUCAUUGGGUUUAAAGGGUCCGCAGGCGGUCAAUUAAGUCAGAGGUGAAAUCCCGUCGCUCAACGACGGAACUGCCUUUGAUACUGGUUGACUUGAGUCAUAUGGAAGUAGAUAGAAUAAGUAGUGUAGCGGUGAAAUGCAUAGAGAUUACUUAGAAUACCGAUUGCGAAGGCAGUCUACUACGUAUGUACUGACGCUCAUGGACGAAAGCGUGGGGAGCGAACAGGAUUAGAUACCCUGGUAGUCCACGCCGUAAACGAUGGACACUAGUUGUUGGGAUUUAAUCUCAGUGACUAAGC
rnacentral:rRNA from 1 species